AUUGAACGCUGGCGGCACGCUUAACACAUGCAAGUCGAACGGCAGCACGAAGGGGUAACUCUUUGGUGGCGAGUGGCGAACGGGUGAGUAACGCGUAGGGAUCUGCCUGUUAGAGGGGGGAUAAGCCGGGGAAACUCGGUCUAAUACCGCAUACGCUCUACGGAGGAAAGUAAUGGGAUUUAAUUACCAUACGCUAACAGAUGAACCUGCGUUAGAUUAGCUAGUUGGUAGGGUAAAGGCCUACCAAGGCGACGAUCUAUAGCUGGUCUGAGAGGAUGACCAGCCACACUGGAACUGAGAGACGGACCAGACUCCUACGGGAGGCAGCAGUGGGGAAUAUUGGACAAUGGGGGGCAACCCUGAUCCAGCGAUGCCGCGUGUGUGAAGAAGGCCUGAGGGUUGUAAAGCACUUUAGUUGGGGGAGGAAGAAUCCAGAGAUGAAUAAGCUAUGGAAAUGACGUUACCCAAAGAAUAAGCACCGGCUAACUCUGUGCCAGCAGCCGCGGUAA
rnacentral:rRNA from 1 species